GACGAAGGAUGCAAGCGUUAUCCGGAUUCAUUGGGUUUAAAGGGAGCGUAGGUGGCCUUAUAAGUCAGUGGUGAAAUCUCUGGGCUUAACCCAGAAAUUGCCAUUGAUACUGUAGGGCUUGAGUAUAGAUGCCGUUGGCGGAAUAUGACAUGUAGUGGUGAAAUACAUAGAGAUGUCAUAGAACACCGAUUGCGAAGGCAGCUAACGAAACUAUAACUGACACUGAGGCUCGAAAGUGUGGGGAUCAGACAGG
rnacentral:rRNA from 1 species